UACGUAGGGGGGCUAGCGUUGUCCGGAAUCAUUGGGCGUAAAGCGCGUGUAGGCGGUCCGGUAAGUCCGCUGUGAAAGUCGGGGGCUCAACCCUCGGAUGCCGGUGGAUACUGUCGGGCUUGAGUACGGAAGAGGCGAGUGGAAUUCCUGGUGUAGCGGUGAAAUGCGCAGAUAUCAGGAGGAACACCAAUUGCGAAGGCAGCUCGCUGGGACGUUACUGACGCUGAGGAGCGAAAGCGUGGGGAGCGAACAGG
rnacentral:rRNA from 1 species